rnacentral:rRNA from 1 species
UACAGAGGUCCCAAGCGUUGCUCGGAUUCACUGGGCGUAAAGGGUGCGUAGGCGGUCGGGUAAGUCUGCCGUGAAAUCUCCGAGCUUAACUCGGAAACGGCGGCGGAUACUAUUCGGCUCGAGGGUUGGAGGGGGGACUGGAAUUCUCGGUGUAGCAGUGAAAUGCGUAGAUAUCGAGAGGAACACCAGUGGCGAAGGCGAGUCCCUGGACAACUCCUGACGCUGAGGCACGAAAGCUAGGGGAG